UGCGAGCAUAGUUCAACGGUAGAAUAAAGCCCAAGUCUUGAAGCCCAUUCUUUCUUAGGCUGAUAUGCAGGUUCGACUCCUGUCGCUCGCAU
rnacentral:tRNA from 1 species